GCGGAUCCGAGCGGAAUGCAGCGGCCCGAGGCCUGGCCACGUCCGCACCCAGGGGAGGGGGCCGCCGCGGAGGUAGCGGCGGCGGCCCGGGGGGGAACGGCGCCGGGCGCUGGGGCCACGGAACCCCCGGGGCUGCGGUUGCAGGAACCAUCUCUCUACACUGUCAAAGCAGUUUUCAUCCUGGAUAAUGAUGGACAACGGCUUCUGGCCAAGUACUAUGAUGAUACAUUCCCCUCCAUAAAGGAGCAGAAAGCCUUUGAGAAAAAUGUCUUCAACAAGACUAAUAGAACUGACAGUGAGAUUGCCUUUUUUGGAGGUAUGACCAUUGUCUACAAGAGCAGCAUUGACCUUUUCCUGUAUGUCGUGGGCUCAUCCCAGGAAAAUGAGCUGAUGCUUAUGUCAGUCCUUACCUGCCUGUUUGAUUCCCUGAACCACGUGUUACGGAGGAACAUAGAGAAACGCUCAUUGGUGGAGAACAUGGAUGGAGCCUUCCUGGUGGUGGAUGAGAUCGUGGAUGGCGGUGUGAUUCUGGAGAAUGAUCCUCAGCAGGUGAUUCAGAAAGUGAACUUCCGGGUGGAGGACAGCGGCCUGUCUGAGCAGAGUGUGGCCCAGGUCCUUCUACCCAGACUAAUCCUGCCUGCAUGAAGCCUGCUCCAGUCACGCACUAACACCUUACCCCCCUCGGCAGUAACUGAGGCCGGAAGACACGCUGCUGCUCCUUCUGUCUCUUGCUGGGCCCCAGGUUCUACAGUCUGCCAAGGAGCAAAUUAAGUGGUCCUUGCUGAAGUAAAAACCACAGGAGCUAAACCCGCCUCUGCUCCAAGGACCAUCUCCUCAGUGCUGUGAACCGCUGAGGACCCAGAAGGACAAGAGUCCCUCCCUCUUGCUCUCCGCAGGCCUCCUCCUCAUACUAAUUCAGAAGCCGGAGUUCCCGAUCUCUGACACAGUGACCAGAAGGGACCCUGUCAUUGCUCUCCAGCAAGGAUCCAUUUUACUUUUAGACCAUUUUCAUGUUGGAGUCAGUCAUUCCCUACCCCUGCCUGCUCCCAAGGCAACCAACUGAUCUGCCUCCUUCAUAUGGGACUCUUGUCUCUGAGGACUGCAAUAAAACAAGUUUUUCUCCUUU